AUCCCAUCACGAGGACACUUUCUAAGCCAAUCCUUAAACCUUUCCUAAGCCUCAAACAAACUUUCAUCUUUACAUUGCCUAAAAGAGGUUAUGACAUUCCUUUUUUU
rfam:Cicer arietinum chromosome Ca1, whole genome shotgun sequence.